rnacentral:rRNA from 1 species
AUUGAACGCUGGCGGCAGGCCUAACACAUGCAAGUCGAACGGUAACAGGAAGCAGCUUGCUGCUUCGCUGACGAGUGGCGGACGGGUGAGUAAUGUCUGGGAAGCUGCCUGAUGGAGGGGGAUAACUACUGGAAACGGUAUCUAAUACCGCAUAAUGUCGCAAGACCAAAGAGGGGGACCUUCGGGCCUCUUGCCAUCGGAUGUGCCCAGAUGGGAUUAGCUUGUUGGUGGGGUAACGGCUCACCAAGGCGACGAUCCCUAGCUGGUCUGAGAGGAUGACCAGCCACACUGGAACUGAGACACGGUCCAGACUCCUACGGGAGGCAGCAGUGGGGAAUAUUGCACAAUGGGCGCAAGCCUGAUGCAGCCAUGCCGCGUGUAUGAAGAAGGCCUUCGGGUUGUAAAGUACUUUCAGCGGGGAGGAAGGGAGUAAAGUUAAUACCUUUGCUCAUUGACGUUACCCGCAGAAGAAGCACCGGCUAACUCCGUG